AUAAUAAUCAAAUUUAAAUUUAUUUUCAAUUUUAUUUACAAACACAACUUAAUAUACAAUUUUAAUAAAAAUGUAGUAUCUAUAAUAGAAAUAUGCAAAAAAAUUCUUUUUUUUCUUUGCUAAGAGCAAAACAAAAAUAUUUCUACUAAACUUUGAAAAAAGAACAGAUUCAGCCCUCCUACACUUUACAGAUUAAUUGAAAUUCCAUGAACUACACAAAAUUUGUGUUAAAAUUCAGUCAAAUUGACUUUUUUUUUUGGUUAUUGUUAAGCAAUAUACAUACCUCAGAAAAAACUAACAUUACAUACAAACUUUCAAAGAAACAUUUUCAUUUCUUAAACAUUUUAAGUGUUAUCAUCUCUCUUUGAUAACCAAAACUUCAACUUAACAGAGAAAACAGAACACACAUUUUAUGUCUCAUACCCCCCCCCCCCCC